ACUAAAGUGAGAAACUAUAAUUAACUCAAAUAUUAACAAAAAAAUAUAGAAAAAAUUUUAGAAAUAAAUACAACCAAGUUAAGUGAGCCGGUGCCCUAGCGAUGGGUGACCUUACCGGAAACUUGCUGUCUUCACAGCAAGAAGCCCUAAAAUUGGGGGAAAAUUUUGUGAAAUAAUUUUUGGGACUCAGAAAAGAGUCAUUGAGAUUUUGAUGGCAUUAGAAUGCCAAG
rnacentral:misc_RNA from 1 species